CGGAAGUAGCGCUAUUGAGUCUUUUUGUGGAACAUCAUUGUCUUUUAAAUCCAAGUACGUCCACGCACGAGAUCCGGUUCCGACUCAGUGCCCUGAACACCGAAGUACAUGUGUUCUUUCAAUCGAGAUGGAGGACGAUAACCGUCACGAUAAGGACAAGGCCGCUAAUCCUGGUAUUUUCCCAGCGGGGGAACCUGGGCAGAGUGACCGGCGUCUCGAAGAGCUUUCAGUAGACUUUCCGGUGUCGGUGGUUCUUCCUGCCGGGGGUACCGGAGAGAGAACGGGGCUGACCACACCGAAACAGUUUUGCUCGUUGUCGGGCAGACCGCUCAUUAGCUACACCAUUCAAGCCUUCGAGAGAGUGUCAUGGAUCCAGAGCGUUGUGGUUGUUGUUGCCAAAGAAAGCAUGGACCUGAUGGCAGAUUUUAUUCAGAGGUUUCAGCACAGGAAGGUUCGAGUGGUGCCGGGGGGUACCACUCGCCACAGGUCUAUCUGGAAUGGAAUCCUAGCUUUGGGUGAGGUAGAGGGCUUCCUUCCAAACAGUGUCAGACCAAAGGUGGUCAUCAUCCAUGAUGCUGUAAGGCCUUUCGUGGAGGAGGAUUUUCUCAUCAAGAUAGCCAGGGCUGCCAAAGAACACGGGGCGGCUGGAGCGAUCAGACCUCUGGUUUCUACGGUGAUUGCCACUACUUCAGAGGGAUUCCUGGAUCACUCUCUGGAGCGAGCCAAGUACAGAGCCAGUGAGAUGCCCCAAGGCUUUACCUAUGACAUCAUCUGUCAGGCCUACCAGAGGUCCUCCGAGUACGACUUUGACUUUGGGACAGAGUGUCUCCAUCUGGCUCUGCAAUACUGUGGCACCAGUGCUAAACUGAUAGAAGGGCCUCCUUCACUGUGGAAGGUGACCUACAAACGGGAUUUAGCCGCAGCGGAAUCAAUUGUAAAAGACGCUCUGUCAAAGUCAACGUGUGUCGUCACAGGUGGGUCGGCGGCGGCUGAGUCGUUUGCUGGAGACCUUCAGAAGACAACAGAACUGAACAUGGAGGUUCACGUGGUCCCAGAUCUUAACAGAGACAACAGCAGCAAAGUGCUGAAGGAAUUCAACUUCAUCCUGGUUUCUGUGAACUCUUUUGACCUGUCUGCGCUCAAGUCCACACUGAAAGAUCUGGAAGCCUCAAACCAAGCUGUUCUUCACCCUCUGGUCGUUAUUUGGGUGUAUUUGACCACUUCAGAUGAGCCAUCAUGCAUCAGUAGAACCACAGCUGAGGUCAAGGCGUUUACAGAUGUGGCUUCAGAAGCUAAACUAAGAAAUACUCUCAUCUACGGUCUUCAGCUUCCUCGGACUCAGGAUAGUGAGUGUUGGCGGAGGUCGGUCCUGAAAUUCGCUGAGAUCACUUCAGCGCUCGUCCGGGAGAGAAGCUUCGCCUUAGUGGGACAACUUCUGCAGGUUUGAAGAGAGGGGGCAGCAGCAGCAGCAGAAACAAAAUGGAUUCUUCUUCUUCUAUGGGGUUGUGAUGGUAAUCCCAGCAUCCAUCUGAUGAGAGUAGGAGGGCGACAUUGUUCUGCUUUUAUUCCUUCUCAUCCACCUCACCCGCUGUUUUCCAGUUCGGACGCUGUGCUGGGAUUUUGAUUUUGCAACGCAGCCAAUUGUACUCCGACACUCUGAUGUGGUCGUCGAAGUGUUUCCUGUGGAAAGUGCCGAGAGGAUGAGAAGAAGAAGAAGAACGAAUAAACAGCUUAGGAUUAGCUGCAGUGUUAAAACUGUCGUCCGUGAUAGUCAUGGAAUCACACAAGAAUGUAAUUGGCCGUUGUGGAUCUGACCCGACCUCCGCUCCAGCUCCGUCCUCCGCUGGUUUCCGUCCUUAAAUGUCUGUCCGAAACCACAAGCCUUCAGCGGACCCUGCACUUUCCAUAGAUCUGUGCGUUCUCUUUUUUCUUCCUAACGUCUUCAUUACUCCGCUCUUUUUUUUUUGUUGUUGGGUGUAACAGGAUACCACACUGACCACCACUGAGGUCAUUUCCUCCGUAUGAAAAACAGAUAUUGUGCCUUUCGCCGCAGUAGAAAAAAGGGCAGCGCUAUUUGCCAGAUUGGAGCCCUGAGCUGCCAGAUUGGGGACCAGGCUAAUCUAAUUACAGACUAUAGAGAAAGAGGCCCCGAGGGGCCCCCGUUCAGGACGGGGUGACGGUUGAGGAGCGUGGACUGCUUCUCCCUCCUGAUUUUUUUUUUUUUUUAAACUACGCACCGCAAAAUACAAUGUGGUAAUGUCUGCGGGCUUAAUUCUUCCGGAGAGCGAGAGAGAGAAGUAGAGAGAGGAAGAAAGAUAGUGGGAGGAUGAUUUAUGUCCUGUUGUGAAGACGCAGAAAAUAAAUCCAGCGACUCAGUGCGCACGUAGGGAAACAGGCCGUAAAGUAAGGGAGCGGGGAUCAAUUCUCAACCGUCUUAUUUUUCCCCCCCGUCUGAAAAAAACCCUCAAAUGAGCUCAAAUCUCCUCCCAUGUCAAAACUAAUCUCUUUGUUUUAUAUCUGCAGCGUGUUUUUACGAUACAGGUCCCGCUCUCCAGAGGGGGGGGGGCGGGGCCGCACGGGGGCUCCCGUCACGACAGUGUAGGUUCAAGGGAUGGUUGAGAGGUUAAAGCAGAGGAGCAAGACUAAGAGGAGGCCCAAAAAUCACCUAUGGCCAGUAACUCCGCCCCCCUCCUCCCCCCAGUACUGAGCAGAACACCACCAGGUAGGAGAAGACCACACAGCAGCUCCUCCACCAGGCUGUGGCUGGAAUACACACAGUAGUCAAUGAGUACAAUCACAGUUACAUUUUCAGAACCUGAGGAUAACCUUAUGACCCCGACCCUCUCCAGUUUUUAUUAAUA